AGAAUUAUAUAGUCUUAAUAAAAAGGGUCUAUACAAACUGAUUUUAAAUGGAAUAUUCUAUCAUCACUCACAACUAGGUAAAGAUGAAAAAAAAAUCAUUGUAAAUGCUUUUAAAAACAAUAUCCUCUUUUGUAUAUGUUGUACAACAACAUUGUCAACUGGUCUUAACUUCAAUGUUCAUACUAUUAUUAUGAGAAAUAUUAAAAUAGGUAAAGAUUAUAUAACAAAAGAACAACUUACACAAAUUUCCGGACGAUGUGGUAGAGUACAAAAAAGACAUUCCCUUGCUAACAUGGGCCUUUCUAGCUUGUGCGAACUAGCAUCCGAACAAACAAGCGAACUAACACGCGAACUAACAGGCUUACCUAAUGAACAGACCGAAACAAAUGGGUACCCCCAAAACAAAUCCAUUUCCAACGAAGUUCCAAAAGUAAUUGACUAUGAUAACGAUUGUGAUGGGAAAAUUAUAAUUUGUUUAUCUCCUGCAGAAAAAAAAAAUUUUGAAACAAUCAUAAACCCUGAUUUAAGUUUAUCUAAGAUAUUAAAAAGUAAAAUAGAAGGCUUUUACCUUUGCAAAUUUAUUAUAGAAUUAUUAGAGUUAAAUAUUGUAACGACCAAACAAAAUGUAAAUGAUUUUUUUUUUCGUUAUACACUUAAAUUUUUUAAUUGUAAUAAAUGGAGUAAUAUAACCUUUGACGAAAAUUAUAAUAAGUUAAAAUAUGGUAAAGAAGAUAAUGAUUACAAUAUAGAUUGUAUAAUGAAUGAGAAAAAAAAACUGACACACGACAUAAAAACGCAGAAUAAUAUGGAAGCAGCGUAUGACGAAAUAAAACAUACAUUCCAGUUUUUAUUUGAAAAUAAAUUAAUUAGUAUAACAUGUGAAAAAGAAAAAAUUUAUUAUAGUAUAUUAUUUGAACAAUUAUAUGACAUUAAUUCAAAAAAUAUAGAACAUAUAUUUAUUUUUCAAAUAUUAGAUAAAUUUAUAAACGUUAAUAUGUUAAUGCGGUCUACUAUGGAACGAAAAAUUCAAAUGUUUCGUAUGUUAUGUAAAAACUGUGUAGGUAUGUCUAUGGACGUUCAUACAAAUCUCUAUGUAAAAACACCCGAACAAAGUAAUAGUCCUACCAAUGAUGAAACACCCUUUUUCUUUUUACCCUUUCUCACAGUUUUAUUUAUUUUUAAAGAUAAAAAUAUGAACAACAGAAUGUUUCAAGAUUUGUUUAUUCAAUUAAUUAAAUACUUAUUUUUAAUUAAUACAAAUAUAAAACCGCGUGAUGGUUUUUUCUAUAUUUAUGACUAUUUAAAUGAUACAGACAUAAUUUCAUGCACUGAGUUAUCUCCUUGCCUUCAUAAUAUUCA
rnacentral:lncRNA from 1 species